rnacentral:rRNA from 1 species
GAUGAACGCUGGCGGCGUGCCUAAUACAUGCAAGUCGAACGCACAGCGAAAGGUGCUUGCACCUUCCAAGGGAGCGGAGAAGGGGGGAGUAAGAGGGGAACAAGCUGUCUCAAGGCGGGGGAUAACAUGUGGCAACAGAUGAUACUACAGAGUAAAACUUAGUGCCGCGUGACGCAAAGAUAAAAGGCGCUGCGGCGUCACCACGCGAUGGAUACGAGGUGCAUUAGUUAGUUGGUGGGGUAAAGGCCUACCAAGACAAUGAUGCAUAUCCGAGUUGUGAGACUGAUAGCCCGCCUUAGAACUGAGCCACGGCCCAAGCUCCUACGGUAGGCCGCAGUAUGGAAUCUUCCACAAUGGUCGAAAGCCUGAUGGAACAACGCCGCGUCUGUGAUGAAGGCGUUCGGGUCGUAAAGCACUGUUUUAUGUGAAGAACCGCUAGAACAGGAAAUGAUGUUAGUUUGACGGUACCAUACCAGAAAGCGACGGCUAACUACGUG